GCGAGGGUGGCGGAAUUGGCAGACGCACCAGACUUAGGAUCUGGCGUUUCGACGUGAGGGUUCAAGUCCCUCCUCUCGCA
rnacentral:tRNA from 1 species